CAAAUAUCCCAACUGUGUUUUUUUUCUUCUUCUACUUUUAUCACCAGUUUGGACUUGAAAGUCCACGUGGAGGUUGAUCUGAGGACACGUCAAACUUUACUUCCCGUGGCGCUAAAACGAUCCGCCAUGACAGGGCGUAGACCACCACCAUCCUUCACCAGAGAGACAACAGCAGUUCCAUGUCUUCAGGAGGUCCACGCCAUCUAGCAUCAACUUGAUGUAAUGCAGCUCGCUCACGAAACCAUCCAAAGCGGAAAGACGAGAAAGCCAGAGAAAGUGGAGUACUGCCACCCGCCCACCAGGUUGCCCUUCUCCAGCUUCAGGUAGACUUUGUCCUCCUUUUCCAGGUACAGCAGGACCCCAUUGGUGGCUGCUUCGCGGGUCACGUCCUUGUCCCCUGCGAAGGCCGAGAUGACCGGCCUCCCGUUCAGCAUCAGGUUCACCUGAAACCAACAACCAUCACAUGAUUAAAGCUCAUUUUCUUGGCUUCAAAGGUUAUAUCAUGGGUGUCCAGACUUUUUCCUCCAGCGAGGGCCACAUAGUGAAAAAUGAAGGGAUGCAGCUUUGCCACUUUGAUAUUUCGUAAAUAUGCUAAGUUAUAUAUAUUUCAAGAAAAAAGUCCAUCUCAGCUUUGUCAUGUACUUUAGGUGAAAAAGCCUGUUAUUAAUACUAUAUUAAUUAAUAUCAACUACACUCUUUGCUCUUUUUCUUCCCGUUUUUGCUGUUUUUUUCCAAACAUGUCAAAUUUCUUAUAAUCUUCUUAAAUGUUCUUCUCAUAAUAUUAUGACUUUAUUCCCAUGAUAUUUCGAUUUUAUUCCCAUCAUAUUAUAACUUUUUCCCCAACCUGAUUUUGUUUCUCAUAUUACGACUUUUAAAACAGAAAAUAAAGCAUUUUUUCUUAAAUAUUUCAACUCUAUGCUACUAAAGUGACAUUAUUUUCGUAAAACUGCAACUUUUUUCUCAUA